GGGGAUAAUCGGGAGAAAUCCCGUCUAAUACCGCGUAAUGCCGCGGGGCUGCAUGGCCCUGCGGCCAAAGGGAGCGAUUCCGGCAACGGAUGGGCAUGCGUGACAUUAGCUAGUUGGCGGGGCAACGGCCCACCAAGGCGACGAUGUCUAGGGGUUCUGAGAGGAAGGUCCCCCACACUGGUACUGAGACACGGACCAGACUCCUACGGGAGGCAGCAGUGAGGAAUAUUGGUCAAUGGGCGCGAGCCUGAACCAGCCAAGUCGCGCGAGGGAUGACGGCCCUACGGGUUGUAAACCUCUUUUGUCGGGGAGCAAAUUCCGCCACGUGUGGCGGAGUCGAGAGUACCCGAAGAAAAAGCAUCGGCUAACUCCGUGCCAGCAGCCGCGGUAAUACGGAGGAUGCGAGCGUUAUCCGGAUUUAUUGGGUUUAAAGGGUGCGUAGGCGGACUGUCAAGUCAGCGGUAAAAUACGGGGGCUCAACCUCCGCCCGCCGUUGAAACUGACGGUCUUGAGUGGGCGAGAAGUAUGCGGAAUGCGUGGUGUAGCGGUGAAAUGCAUAAAUAUCACGCAGAACUCCGAUUGCGAAGGCAGCAUACCGGCGCCCGACUGACGCUGAAGCACGAAAGCGUGGGUAUCGAACAGGAUUAGAUACCCUGGUAGUCCACGCAGUAAACG
rnacentral:rRNA from 1 species